GUGACAAGAGCGCUUUCUAGGGCAGUUGUGUGCUGUCUUCAGAGGCAGGAAGCCACUUCCUGUGGUCUCAAUGGUGCCCUGUGAAAAACCAGGCCCUGGCCCAGCAGCCAAGAGGGCCGGGAUAGGUUCACCCAGACCCAUUGUCCUAUGAGCAGAUUUGUUUUUUCCAGAGCAACUCUUCACAGCUUCUCCCCUUCCCUUGGUGACAAUGACAGCCAGCAAUGGCUAGACAGCCUACUCCCAGCCUGGCCUGAGUCCGGUGGCCCCAGCGUGAGAUCACCACAGUGAGGUCUGACCUCAGCAUCGCCAUGGGGAUGCUCGGAUGCCACGCUGCCUGUAAAGCACCUUUUUCCCCCAGGAGAGUGGGAGGGGACCAUGGCUGAUGCUGACUAUGUAUGAUGUGGCCUGCUCCUGGCUGCUGGGGCUGUUUGUCCCCAAACAUAUGUUGUCAGAUCUCAGCUGAAUGGGGUGGGCCAGGGGGACUCACUCAGGACCUAUGGGCUCUAUUGCGUGUCUAUGUGUUUGGGGUGUGGCGAGAGGUGUUUAUUAGACCUCACGGGGAGCCUCAUUUUCUUGCCUCCCUGGGCUCGCCUGGGCUGCUGUUCACUGUGCUCCUAAUGGGCCUCGGACUGACAUUCACAGCAACCUGGUCUCCAUAGCAACCAGCUGUGACAUCACAAGGAACCCACGGACCCUGUAGCUGGAGCAGAGGAAGCUUGAAUGCCUGUUUGGGGAAGAAAGCCUUUGCUGCCCAUCCUUAGGCCUCUCCUGUGAUAGGGGAAGAGGACAUAGAAACGCUGAGAGAGCCAGGGCCUCCGCUUCUCUGGAGUAUUCCCCCUUCUGUAAGUGGAAGGAAAGGAAGCACAGCAGAAGGAUUGGAAUCAAGACAGCCUGGCUCCAGAGCCUGUUUUCAUAACUACGAGAGAAUGCACCAGAUUCCUUCUGAACGCCGCCUGCCGCGUGCACGGCUACAACUCUAUUUCCAGCCAUGCUGUGGCAAGCAGUUCCGGGCGGGCUUCAGCUCCCUUUGCACCACCAGCACCUCGCCUCCUGUCAGCAUGAGGCAGUUUUCAUUUUCUGCCCAGGGGCUUCCGCAGCGCCCCAACACAAGGUUGGCAGAAGCGGGCUCAGCCGGAGGACUUGUGGAGGGAAGUUGCUUCCACUGAGCCAGCCUCAAUCUGGGGUGCACAGGCGCCACCAGGUGAAUGCUUCUGCCAGGCCGUCAUCUGACCCAUAAGGUCCCUCUGUGCACUGCUUGGAAGGUCCUGGCAGGGCUGAGCCCCAGCCACCCACGGCAGUGACCUAAUAAUGCACCGUUAUCUUGGCUCUUCUGCUCUCUCUUGUUUCCCACUCCUGUUCGUCCCUCAUUUCUGGUCCCUAGAAUGACUUCCAAAAUAAACUCCCUGUACACAA